rnacentral:rRNA from 1 species
UACAGAGGGUGCAAUCGUUAAUCGGAAUUACUGGGCGUAAAGCGUGCGUAGACGGUUACAUAAGUCGGGUGUGAAAGCCCCGGGCUCAACCUGGGAAUUGCAUUCGAGACUGCGUAGCUAGGGUGCGGAAGAGGGAAGCGGAAUUUCCGGUGUAGCGGUGAAAUGCGUAGAUAUCGGAAGGAACACCAGUGGCGAAAGCGGCUUCCUGGUCCAGCACCGACGUUCAGGCACGAAAGCGUGGGGAGCAAACAGG